rfam:Cephalotus follicularis DNA, scaffold: scaffold241, isolate: St1.
UGAGCUGUGAUGAGAAGAUAUCAUGUAAGAAGAUCCCUGGUGGCAUCCUCAGUGAAAUAUUCUUGUUAUGCCUGGCUUCUGAGCUGU